GACGAACGCUGGCGGCGUGCUUAACACAUGCAAGUCGAACGGUGAAGGGGUCUGCUUUUGUGGGCCCUGGAUGAGUGGCGAACGGGUGAGUAACACGUGAGUAACCUGCCCCCUUCUUCUGGAUAACCGCAUGAAAGUGUGGCUAAUACGGGAUAUUCUGGGUCUGUCGCAUGAUGGGUCUGGGAAAGAUUGCGCCUUUGGGUGUUUUUGGUGGGGGAUGGGCUCGCGGCCUAUCAGCUUGUUGGUGGGGUGAUGGCCUACCAAGGCGGUGACGGGUAGCCGGCCGGAGAGGGUGGACGGUCACACUGGGACUGAGACACGGCCCAGACUGCUACGGGAGGCAGCAGUGGGGAAUAUUGCACAAUGGGCGCAAGCCUGAUGCAGCGACGCCGCGUGAGGGAUGGAGGCCUUCGGGUUGUAAACCUCUUUCGCCAGUGAAGCAGGCCUGCUCCUUGUGGGUGGGUUGACGGUAGCUGGAUAAGAAGCGCCGGCUAACUACGUG
rnacentral:rRNA from 1 species